ACGGCCACCCUUCACCACCGGGCUCCGAAUUUUCAUGGUUGCCCUUCAGCUUUUUGUUUUGUGGCAUUUUUUUCCUCCUGAAGCGGGGGCCCCUGGAACGCGAGAGGUGUUCCCUGGAACCAGGACCACCAUCUGUUGAACAGAUCCGAGGACCUGAUGGGAACCUAAACUUACUUCAUCAGAGGGCACAGACAUCUUUGCUCAUUCUUCUCAGGUGGCAAAGUCUGUCUAUAGGUCCACCUUCUGUUGGCCCUGUUGCCAGGAUGACAUAUUUCUGGAAACCACAGAUACAUCAGAUUUGGUACAUUUCAUAGGAAUCAUAUCAUCAUUUUUAUAACAUGCAUCAUAUUACAUAUGUGUGAGCUGACUUUCUCACUGGACGCAGGAGCAGGUGUUGGUUGUGGCGAGACUGCUGCUAAGUGAGAGGCCGACGUUUGAGAACACUUUAACCGGGUCAUUUUCAAGGGGCAGAUCACGACAAAAUAAAAAAAAUUAAAAAAACAUCUUUCCUUUUACCUGUCAUUCUAUUCAUCCAUCUAGGUUGUUUUGGUGUGGGUUGCAUAGUUUUGGAGAUAUCAGCUGUAGAGUUGUCUGCCCUCUCUUGAACAUGAUAGAACUACAUUGCACUCGGCUUGCGGUGCUAAAAAAGUACAUUUGAAAACUCAACAGCAGCAUCUUUUUUAAAACAAAAUAAUGACCUGGUUACUCAAGAUAACCCACAGACAUUGUUGUGAGGAGUUGCAUGUAGGAACUCUUUUGUUUAACACCGUAUCACUGCACAGACAAGAGGUGGGGAUGGAUCGAUGGUGUCCUCCUUAGCUGGGCUGUGAUGUUAGCUGUUAGCUUCCUUCUGCUCGGUUAUACCAAAAGAAAAUAGGUCCUAUGUAAAACUGCUCACAACAAGGACUGUGGACUAUCUUGAUGGGUAAAGAGCACUACAGGCAAGUGGAAAUAUGUAUUUGUGAUCUUUGCUGUCCUUUAAACCACCAACAUCAAAAUAAAUCAUUAAGAAAACAUUUCAACAUCUCUGUCUUCAUGAACAGGGUCAACAUACAUAAUGGCAACAGGGUUGUCUUUGCAACUAUUAGCUGUAUGGCAAUGACAUUUUGUAGACACCAUAAUGUUACUCAGAGGUUAACACCUACAUAUGAUCCUCUGACUUAUCAUGGAGCACCCUUAUGAGGCUGACAUUUGUGGUUUUGAGUGAAAUGUCUCCACAACUACUGAUUAGUGUGCCAUGAACCUGAAACACUAACUAAUGACAUUCCCAUUAGCUUCAGCUGUACUUUGUGUUUAGUGCUAAUUCGCAGAUAUUAGCAUACUGACACAAUAAAAUAAAAACUGAGAACCUAAUAAUAGAUAAUAAUAGAACCUAGUAGCAUACUAGCAUAGCCUGUCUAGCAUGGAACUAAUGACAUUCCCAUUAGCUUCAGCUGUACUCUGUGUUUAGUGCUAAUUAGCUCAAUUAGCAUACUUACAGUAAAAUACAAAGUUGAACUUAAUUAUCCUAUAUGUGAUAAGCAGUAGCAUGUUAGCAUUGCCACUCUAGCAUGGAACUAAUGACAUUCCCAGUUUCAGCUGUACUAUUUAUUUAGUGCUAAUGAGCAAAGAGUAUAUUAGCAUAUUAGCAUGUUCGCAUGCUGGCAUUGGUUUUUGGGCUGAAAGCAGCACUUGUGUGCGGCCUCACAGAGCUGCUGGCAUGGUCUUGUCAUUAGUUUCCACUCAGGUCUGUGGGUGUGAACAUAUAGAUAUUUUUCUGAGAUAGGUAUGCAGAUGCCCCAGGUCACGUGUGCUUUCGGCUGAAUUAUCAUUCAACAGAAACGAGAUGUAGUCUACACAUGAUAAUGAUCGACUGUCUGAAGACGAAGAACAGUGUUGGUGGGAAAACUGUGCUUCUAAGAAAAAUAAAGAUGAAGUAUUGUUUGGAAGAUCGUCAGCAUUAAUGUGGGCUAAAAUGUACUUUUAACACUUGCUAAAACAUGCUUUUGUUCAUCCAUCAAUCCAUCCAUCCAUCCAUCCAUUCAUUAUCUGAAACCACUUAUCCUUUUCAGGGAUAGGUCAGCCUGUUCAUCACAAGGCUGACUUUCACACCUACGGACAAUUUAGAGUAACUGAUUAAACUCACUUUUAUGCAUAUACUUUUUGUAUGCUUAAUAUCAGAUGGUAGUGCAGGUAAGAUCAUUGAUUGUAGUUUACCGGAGAACAAUGCAUUUACUAAAGCAAUAAAACUAGAUUAUUUUCACUAUAGUGGAGCUUUUACAUGUAACUUUUAAGUCUAUUCAACUUGUUUUUCCUUUUAUACUGAAAUAAGUACCAAAUGUCACUUGGGAGUAAGCAAAAACACAAAUUAGCUUAGCGUGCAUUAUUGCUACUCUAGUUUUAGGUAUGAAGUAUUUUUAGUUUUUACAAUAACAACCCUACCGGCUUCACCUAUAACCUGCAAAGUUGCCCUUCUAACAUGUUGGGUACAUUUUCCAAAAUAGGCCCGUGUGUCUUUUGCACAGAUCGUCAGUCUGAGGUGAUAAAAGUAGAGCAAAUCGUACGUUUUUUUUCUCUCUCUCUCUUUGGUGUGGGAAUAGUAGGGGAGAAAUUCUUCCACUCUAACAUAAAGGUCAUUGCGCCGUGGCCGAGAGAUCACAACACUGAGCUGUGGGGCCUUACUGUCACAGAACCUCUGGGCAAACCCCUGCAUUUGCGUCACUUAGCCAAAUACAGCCCACUUGCUAUCAGCGCUUUACAAGAAGUGACUGCCUUUUUUCUCCCCUGCUGCCCACGACACACGAUUUCGAGCUCAUUUACACGGAAGAAAGAAAAAAAAAUACUACUGAAGAAACAGGAAACACGCCGCUGUGUCAUAGAGAGGGAAAAUUCGUCUUCCUGUUUAUCUAGUGAGGCGAUGAAAGCAAAACCACAGACUAAACUCUGCGGUCCCCCCAGUGUUCUCUGUGUCUGCGACAGUAUUUAAAGACGAUUGAUAAAAUAUGGCAAAAUACACGGGGAGGAUUCUCGUCAAGUCAAAUCGCUGGAUCUACUACUGCCUACUCUACGGUGUGGCCCUUUUUUUUCAGAAGGUCAAAACCUUGCUCAGUACAUCUGAUAAAGUUCAAAGAAGCAGCUGCUCUGAAAACAUGAUGAAAUCUUACAUUUUGUAAUCGCCUUGGCCUGAGCGAGGACGUCACACUAAGGGGAUGUGUGGUCAGUACGCAAUACACACAGUAUGCUGCACACACAAGUUUGGGUGACCAAUCCAGGCAGAGGCUUACUUCUGACAUUUUUUCGCUGAUCAGUAUCAUCAACGUGCAGAGCCGAAUCAUUGAAAAAAAAAAGCCCAAGUGACGAGCAACUCUCACAUGAAAAUGAGCCGCAUGAGACAAAACAAUCAGUGCGACGCGCGAAAGCAGCCGGGCCUGUGCCGUUUUCAGCGCCGCAGUCCCCGGGCGCUGGAUUCUUGCUGCACAAGGGAGCGAUUGCCCACACGUGUUAAUUUAUUCCUUAAGCUUCUGCAAACACACAGAGCAGCGUCCAAAUGUGCAGCCCAACAGAAGCCAUGACACAUGCGCCACAUGGUCAGGUAGCAUUUUUUUGUAAAUAUAGUACAAAGGCGGUCCCGCUUGGCUUGGAAAAAAGGACACUUAGAGAGCAGAACAGGCAGUGACUGGAGGCUCUUUCUCGUAUAUGUCAUGCGGUUAGUUUGGAAGCUGAUCCAAAUAUUGAGUAAUGAGUUGUAAAUUCACCCCUUUACUUUUUUUUUUUUUUUUUUUUACAGGACUUU